AUUAACUCAGAGUAUCUGAAGCGUGAUCGCGGGCAGCUGGAAUACAGGCUGAGUCUCACACAACAUGCUUGAAAUUAUUUACCGCGUGAGGAAGAUAUAUUACUUGAUUGUUGCCGUUAUUGGUGCCCCUGCUACCUGGUCCUGUAUUGCCACAAGGAACAACUCAGUUUCUGGGAAGAGAUCUCCAACUUUUAGCCUGGCGUCAGACGCUUCCAGUUGACACCUGGUCUGCUCAGGUGGUGGGGAUCUCAUCCCUGGACAAUUAUGCUCAUCCAGGUUAACUCUUUCUUCUACAGCAGUGUUACCCAACCUAUUCUAGCACUUUUCGUGCCGCGAAACAAGUAGAAAUGUCGAACACCCUGGUUGCUAAUUUAUGCAUCCCCAACAACGUCUGUUAGGAUUCCAACAGAUUUGUCUGGGAAGAUUUCUACUGAAGAAAACCAUGCCGACUUUGGCCGUACAGUGGAGGAUUCAAGAGAACUGUCAUGUAGAUGGGGAAUAAGAUGGCGGCACAACGCAGCGCACACGGCCUCUCUGGAGAAUGUUAUCUGUUACUUGUUAAGUACAGAUUUGUAUCUGUACAUUAAGUAUAAUAUUAUUGUAUAAUAAGUACCCUGAUUUGAUGGAGAUACACGUGAGUGCACGGAGGAACUUCGGGAGAAACUUCUGAAAUGACCGCUUCGCCGCCGCUGCUACUGUGCGGUGCGGUCCGGAAUCUCCGGAUGAAAAGGCCUCCGAGACCUCGGCUUUGCUUGUUUCGGUGGCCAGGACGAUGUCGAUGGCGCUCGGAGCCUGUAUUGCAGGCUUGAAGUUUUCGGACGGACUCAGAGUCUGCUGUGGUCGGGUGCUUCCAAGGCAUCAGUUUGUCGGUGCCUGAGAGUUUAUGGCAGGGAGAGUUUCUCCCUUUUGCUGCCUAAUAUCGGGACUAUUGGAGUCGAUCGGGACUUGAGACUUUCUCUUAAACCGUGCCCACGCUCUACUUUUAUCAAAUUAUGGUAUUGAUUUGCACUGCUGUAACUAUAUGUUAUAAUUAUGUGCUUUUUUUUGUCAAUGUGACUCUUUGGUUUGUCCUGUUUUUUGUGUUAUAUCACUCUGGAGGAACAUUGUAUU